rnacentral:lncRNA from 1 species
AUUGAAAUGAGCUCCUCUCAAAGUCUUAGAUUCGAUUCUUCUUGAUGUAAAUUUAAGUGGACCAAUUUAACUUCUUAAAAAAACAAAAUUAAAUGAUAUGAUAACAAGUGUAAAAUAUUUCAACGAUCCAUUAAUUUGUUGUUGGAAGAUUUAUUUUAAACAAAUGCUAAACCACAAGACACAAGGAUAAACCACAAUAAAGAAAAACAAAUGACCAUCCAAAGAUAAAAACAAGAUACUAAUUAAUUAAGAUUGAAAUAUAACAACAUACGUUUCUUAACCUAGUUGGAUUGGUCUAAUAGUAUUGGUAUAGAACUGGAAGUGUGCUCCUCUUUAAGGUCUCACGUUCGAUUCUCUAUGCGUUCUGAAUUCUUACAUCAUGGGAGGUGGUCGAGAUCGCUGUGGAGGGUGUAUAUGUGGUGCACUUGGGACUGUAAUCGGUUUUCGUAUAGGAGGUUUAAAAACCGGAGGCUUUUGUGUAUGUUGUCUUGCAGUUGGUGGAGGACUGUAAUUGCGACCAUUGGUAAGAGAGAUAAUUGCCAGAAACAAAACUAGCACGAAUGAGUAAUAAGACAUGACACAAAUAAUCUGUGUGUAUAUAUAUAUAACAACAGCUUUAGAUUAGAGUUAGAGGUAGUAGUUUUGUUUGGGUAGGAUGUGUCUAUAUAUAGUAGACAAAGAGUAAUUAAAUAGACAAUUUUUCAAAAAAUGUUUCUAUCUUACAAAUUUCUUAACUUGUGAAUUCAUGUUAAUAACUUCAUAUUUAAUGCUGUCCUGCAUAAAUG